rnacentral:rRNA from 1 species
UACGAAGGGUGCAAGCGUUACUCGGAAUUACUGGGCGUAAAGCGUGCGCAGGCGGCUUUGCAAGACAGAUGUGAAAUCCCCGGGCUCAACCCUGGGAACUGCAUUUGUGACUGCAUGGCUAGAGUACGGUAGAGGGGGAUGGAAUUCCGCGUGUAGCAGUGAAAUGCGUAGAUAUGCGGAGGAACACCGAUGGCGAAGGCAAUCCCCUGGACCUGUACUGACGCUCAUGCACGAAAGCGUGGGGAGCAAACAGG